rnacentral:rRNA from 1 species
AUUGAACGCUGGCGGCAUGCCUUACACAUGCAAGUCGAACGGUAACGGGCCUUCGGGUGCCGACGAGUGGCGAACGGGUGAGUAAUGUAUCGGAACGUACCUUUCAGUGGGGGAUAACGUAGCGAAAGUUGCGCUAAUACCGCAUAUUCUGUGCGCAGGAAAGCAGGGGACCUUCGGGCCUUGCGCUGAUUGAGCGGCCGAUAUCAGAUUAGCUAGUUGGUGAGGUAAAGGCUCACCAAGGCGACGAUCUGUAGCGGGUCUGAGAGGAUGAUCCGCCACACUGGAACUGAGACACGGUCCAGACUCCUACGGGAGGCAGCAGUGGGGAAUUUUGGACAACGGGGGCAACCCUGAUCCAGCCAUGCCGCGUGAGUGAAGAAGGCCUUCGGGUUGUAAAGCUCUUUCGGCCGGGAAGAAAUCGUAUCAGCUAAUACCUGGUGCGGAUGACGGUACCGGCAUAAGAAGCACCGGCUAACUACGUGCCAGCCGCCGCGGUAAUAC